GACGAACGCUGGCGGCGUGCUUAACACAUGCAAGUCGAACGGUGAACCCCGCUUGCGGGGGGAUCAGUGGCGAACGGGUGAGUAACACGUGGGCAACCUGCCCCCGGCUCUGGGAUAACUCCAAGAAAUUGGGGCUAAUACCGGAUAGUUCUGCCGGCCGCAUGGCCGGUGGUGGAAAGGUUUUUCCGGCUGGGGAUGGGCCCGCGGCCUAUCAGCUUGUUGGUGGGGUGAUGGCCUACCAAGGCGACGACGGGGAGCCGGCCUGAGAGGGUGACCGGCCACACUGGGACUGAGACACGGCCCAGACUCCUACGGGAGGCAGCAGUGGGGAAUAUUGCGCAAUGGGGGCAACCCUGAUCCAGCGAUGCCGCGUGGGUGAAGAAGGCCUUCGGGUUGUAAAGCCCUUUAGGCUGGGAAGAAGUGUGUGGGGCGAAUAGCGCUGUACAUUGACGGUACCAGCAGAAUAAGCACCGGCAAACUCUGUGCCAG
rnacentral:rRNA from 1 species